rnacentral:rRNA from 1 species
GACGAACGCUGGCGGCGUGCUUAACACAUGCAAGUCGAACGGAAAGGCCCUGCUUUUGUGGGGUGCUCGAGUGGCGAACGGGUGAGUAACACGUGAGUAACCUGCCCUUGACUUUGGGAUAACUUCAGGAAACUGGGGCUAAUACCGGAUAGGAGCUCCUGCUGCAUGGUGGGGGUUGGAAAGAUUCGGCGGUUGGGGCUGGACUCGCGGCUUAUCAGCUUGUUGGUGGGGUAGUGGCUUACCAAGGCUUUGACGGGUAGCCGGCCUGAGAGGGUGACCGGCCACAUUGGGACUGAGAUACGGCCCAGACUCCUACGGGAGGCAGCAGUGGGGAAUAUUGCACAAUGGGCGGAAGCCUGAUGCAGCAACGCCGCGUGCGGGAUGACGGCCUUCGGGUUGUAAACCGCUUUCGCCGGUGACGAAGCGUGAGUGACGGUAAUGGGUAAAGAAGCACCGGCUAACUACGUG